rnacentral:rRNA from 1 species
CAGGGAAUCUUGCACAAUGGGCGAAAGCCUGAUGCAGCGACGCCGCGUGGGGGAUGAAGGCCUUAGGGUCGUAAACCCCUUUCAGCAGGGACGAAAAUGACGGUACCUGCAGAAGAAGCCCCGGCCAACUACGUGCCAGCAGCCGCGGUAAGACGUAGGGGGCGAGCGUUGUCCGGAUUUAUUGGGCGUAAAGAGCUCGUAGGCGGUUGCGUAAGUCGGAUGUGAAAACUCAGGGCUCAACCCUGAGACGCCAUCCGAUACUGCGCUGACUUGAAUCCAGUAGGGGAGUGUGGAAUUCCUGGUGUAGCGGUGAAAUGCGCAGAUAUCAGGAGGAACACCCAUGGCGAAGGCAGCACUCUGGGCUGGUAUUGACGCUGAGGAGCGAAAGCAUGGGUAGCGAACAGGAUUAGAUACCCGAGUAGUCCCUGAGCGGGCUGGCAAGGCGCAU